rnacentral:rRNA from 1 species
GAUGAACGCUGGCGGCGUGCCUAAUACAUGCAAGUCGAGCGAACGGACGAGAAGCUUGCUCCUCUGAUGUUAGCGGCGGACGGGUGAGUAACAAGUGGAUAACCUACCUAUAAGACUGGGAUAACUUCGGGAAACAGGAGCUACUAAUGGAUAAUAUUUUGAACCGCAUGGAUCAAAAGUGCAUGACGGUCUUGCUGUCACUUAUAGCUGGAUCCGCGCUGCAUUAGCUAGUUGGUAAGGUAACGGCUUACCAAGGCAACGAUGCAUAGCCGACCUGAGAGGGUGAUCGGCCACACUGGAACUGAGACACGGUCCAGACUCCUACGGGAGGCAGCAGUGGGGAAUCUUCCGCAAUGGGCGAAAGCCUGACGGAGCAACGCCGCGUGAGUGAUGAAGGUCUUCGGAUUGUAAAGCUCUGUUAUUAGGGAAGAACAGAUGUGGAAUUAACUGCGCCCAUCUUGACGGUACCUAAACAGAAAGCAACGGCUAACUACGUG